AAUGGACAUAGGUCUUCGUAUUAAAUAAAAAACUUGAUCAAUAUUCAUAAUUUACACUAAUCAACCUUCAUAAAGAUAAAAACAAUUCUAUUUUCUUACACCUACAAUUUAUUUACCUUAAUUUUAUUAUGAUGACAAAAUAUUAAAAACACAUUUACUCAUUUUUUUCUCAUACCUAAUAUUGAUCAAGUUCUUUUAACUAAUAUAAAUCAUAUAUAACAAGCAAGCUAUCCAUCAAAUUCUAGCUCGAAAACAUGUAUAAAUAAGAAUCCUCUCCAUUCUCCCUCAUUCUAAAAAACCAUUUUUCU
rnacentral:lncRNA from 1 species